AAUAUAUUUCGUUGAUCUACAUUAAAAUGUUCUCAAAUAAUCAAAUAAAUAAUAAAACCAAAUAAAAUAAAAUAAAUAAAGCAACAGAGAUGGACAAAUGCCAGGCAAAACCCACACAAAUCUACAAACUCACAGAAAUGUGACACACAGAAGGCAACCGUUUGGUGCACAGUGACUGUAAAUUGUCAAAGAAAUCCAAUUCAAAAACAUUACCCUCUUACCAAAAGUCUUGUGUUUUCCCUGCUGCAAAUGCACAUUUAUUCUUCCACUCACAAAUCCAAUGGGGUUCCGUGGUAACCACCUAUUACAAAAUAUUCUCGUUACUGCUCUCCUUUUUUUGGGAACAUCCAAAAAAGUAAUUGUCUGUGAUAAAUCAAAUAAAGCUGCUUUCUCUAUUCCACAGCAGACGCCAUUGCAUAUCAUGGAAACAAAUCCUCAUUGAACCCAAGUCUGCAGGCACUGGAAUCUGUAGUGAAAAGCAAACUGUUGGAGGAUCUCAGUGGGUCAGGCAGCAUCUGUCGAGAGCAAUGGACAGGAGAUGUUUCCGGUCGGGUCCC